CCUACGGGCGGCUGCAGUGGGGGAUAUUGCACAAUGGGGGAAACCCUGAUGCAGCGACGCCGCGUGUGGGAAGACGGUCCUCUGGAUUGUAAACCACUGUUCCCAGGGACGAAGAUGACGGUACCUGGGGAGGAAGCUCCGGCUACCUACUUACCAGCAGCCGCGGUAAUCCGUAGGGAGCGCGCGUUGUCCGGAAUUACUGGGUGUAAAGGGAGCGUAGGCGGGGAUGCAAGUUGGUUGGAAAAACUACCGGCUCAACUGGUAGUCGCACUCAAAACUGCAGCUCUUGAGUGAAGUAGAGGCAGGCGGAAUUCCUAGUGUAGCGGUGAAAUGCGUAGAUAUUAGGAGGAACACCAGUGGCGAAGGCGGCCUGCUGGGCUUUUACUGACGCUGAGGCUCGAAAGUGUGGGGAGCAAACAGGAUUAGAUACCCUAGUAGUC
rnacentral:rRNA from 1 species